GGCUGGUCCAAGUGCAGUAGUGUUUACAACUAAUUGAUCACAACCAGUAACAGAUUCCCUUGUUCUUUUUCCACUCCCACUGCUUCACUUGACUAACCUAAA
ensembl:misc_RNA Y_RNA Y RNA